AUCUGGAUUUUCAGAUGUGAACUGCUGUUUUCAACUGCUUCUUGCCCAGAAGGAAUUUGUAUCAUUGUACUUCGCAGAAAGUUGUUACAACUCCUAAAGAGAAAACUGUGAAUGCUAAGUAAUGAAGGCAAAUGUGAAACUGCUCAGCCAUGGCAAGACAAUCAGCAUCAGCACCCAUGGGAGAAAUCGGUACCAGGUGUCAGCACAACAGGAGGGCAUUGCAGCUUCCCUAGGAGUUUUUGAAGGCAAGGUUUUUCUGUGUGAUCAGCUUGGCUUUCCUGGAACUCACUGUAUAUAACACAGUGGCCUCAAACUCACAGGGAGUAGCCUGUGUCUGCAUCUCCAGUGGUGGGAUUAAAAGUGUGAGUUGGGUGAUGAUGUCAUAGGAAAAAAUAGAUGAACAGAAAAU